rnacentral:tRNA from 1 species
GGAUUGUGGCUCAGCGGUAGAGCACUCACCUAGCAUGUGUGGGGCCCUGGGUUCGAUCCUAAGCACCA